rnacentral:rRNA from 1 species
UGAUCGUACGUUGGGGCACUAGGUGUGGGGGACAUUCCACGUUUUCCGCGCCGUAGCUAACGCAUUAAGUGCCCCGCCUGGGGAGUACGGCCGCAAGGCUAAAACUCAAAGGAAUUGACGGGGGCCCGCACAAGCGGCGGAGCAUGCGGAUUAAUUCGAUGCAACGCGAAGAACCUUACCAAGGCUUGACAUGGACCGGACCGCCGCAGAAAUGUGGUUUCCCCUUUGGGGCCGGUUCACAGGUGGUGCAUGGUUGUCGUCAGCUCGUGUCGUGAGAUGUUGGGUUAAGUCCCGCAACGAGCGCAACCCUCGUUCUAUGUUGCCAGCGCGUGAUGGCGGGGACUCAUAGGAGACUGCCGGGGUCAACUCGGAGGAAGGUGGGGACGACGUCAAAUCAUCAUGCCCCUUAUGUCUUGGGCUUCACGCAUGCUACAAUGGCCGGUACAAAGGGUUGCGAUACUGUGAGGUGGAGCUAAUCCCAAAAAGCCGGUCUCAGUUCGGAUUGGGGUCUGCAACUCGACCCCAUGAAGUCGGAGUCGCUAGUAAUCGCAGAUCAGCAACGCUGCGGUGAAUACGUUCCCGGGCCUUGUACACACCGCCCGUCAAGUCACGAAAGUUGGUAACACCCGAAGCCGGUGGCCUAACCCCUUGUGGGAGGGAGCUGUCGAAGGUGGGACUGGCGAUUGGGACUAAGUCGUAACAAAGGUAACCA